rnacentral:rRNA from 1 species
UACACACCGCCCGUCACACCAUGGGAGUGGGUUUCACCAGAAGCCGGUCGCCUAACCGCAAGGAGGGCGCCGACCACGGUGAGAUCCAUGACUGGGGUG